AACGAACGCUGGCGGCAGGCUUAACACAUGCAAGUCGAGCGCCCCGCAAGGGGAGCGGCAGACGGGUGAGUAACGCGUGGGAAUCUACCCAUCUCUACGGAAUAACGCAUGGAAACGUGUGCUAAUACCGUAUACGUCCUUCGGGAGAAAGAUUUAUCGGAGAUGGAUGAGCCCGCGUUGGAUUAGCUAGUUGGUGGGGUAAAGGCCUACCAAGGCGACGAUCCAUAGCUGGUCUGAGAGGAUGAUCAGCCACACUGGGACUGAGACACGGCCCAGACUCCUACGGGAGGCAGCAGUGGGGAAUAUUGCACAAUGGGCGCAAGCCUGAUCCAGCCAUGCCGCGUGAGUGAUGACGGCCUUCGGGCUGUAAAGCUCUUUUGUCCGGGAAGAUAAUGACUGUACAGGAAGAAUAAGCCCCGGCAAACUUCGUGCCAGCAGCCGCAGUAACAC
rnacentral:rRNA from 1 species